rnacentral:lncRNA from 1 species
UGGUGUCCAGUGGGAAGUCACCAGCUUUUCUAAAUGGUCAAUCUUCUGAGCAAGUGCAUUCACGGGCUGCACAGCCCAACCCUUUUGGGUGAUCAGGCAUGCCUGAUCCUCAGUGUUUCUGCUCCUUAGCGGGAUCACCCUGCUGCUCCAGCACCUGCCAUUAGCACUGCCUCCAGGCACUUCUGCCAGGAUCACUGUCUUCACAGGCCUGGAUCAGCUGGCUGCCUCAGAGGUCCUCUCCUGCAAGUGCUGUCCUCCUCUCAGGGGAUCCUUCUGCUGGUUUCCUGGGAUGUCUCCCCAAUAAAGCCAGUGCUGUCUUACACCAACUCGCGGAUGUUUGGACCAUCCAGAAUUUUGCCACUGCCGACCAGUACUGCUGACUUAGUUGAGCAAGUCCAUUGGGCUGUGCAGACCAUGACACCUGCUCAAUACCCUAUUCAUUAUUCAGAGGAAACAGAGCAGACAAUGGAAGGGUAGCCUGAAGGAUUAGUGGUCCACCAGGAGGAGGAGAAGGAGUAUCCCCAAAAAACAGAUAGGCAGGAGGAUCUGGAACCGGGUGCCCUGAGAAACAUCACUAAAGUCUGUGGAACCCAAGGAGACCUCAAUUCUCUGGAACCCAGUCCUGUGCCUGGGGAGGGAAAUACCUUUCAAGAGAAGGCCCAGGACUUUCCCAAGAUCUUCUCUUGUCAUCUGCAGCUCCCGCAGACCUGCUGCAGGAGGGGCUGCCCAUGGCUCAGGCUGAUGCAGAGGCAGCAGUGCUCCCGAAGCCAGGCCCCAAGUGUCCCUCACUUCCAGAAACGUGGGCCAAGGGAAGACAGGACAAACAUCAUAUGCCCAGCUCUCCAGGCUCCCUGGCCUCACACAAGGGAGUGAGUGGCCAAAAGCAUUCCUGUGGUCCAACAGAGAGCUGUCCUCCAGCCAGAACUGCUACUUGGAAGCCCCAAAAGAGAAAGAAGGCAAUGCCUACAGCUCUGUCACUGUGGCUGCACUGUUAUCCAGGUGGGCUGCUCCCACCUGCUAAGAGGCCUCUCCUUGUCUGGAGGAAGACCUAGGCAUCCUGCUGAGGGAGGUUCCAGGUGCAAAGAAGAAGAAGUGGAGGAUGAUAUGGAGGCCUUGAAGGGGAAAAAUGAAGUUCUGGAGGCUUCCACCACAAGUGUGCUUGUCAAUUCUUGUGCCCCACCUGGGGCCCAUACUGGGAAUGCUAACACACUGACCCCACCCAAAGAUCCCUCCCACAUACCAGCUAUUCCUGCUGCAAUCAGUGGGAGUUCCAGAAUCCCUUGAACCUGUCUCUACCCUGGACCUGUCUGUCCAUCUACCUUCCCCCUCACCAAGUAAUGAUGAGUGGGGACUCCAUUCCUUGAUUCCCCUGCUUCAUCCCACCACCCUUUUUCUCCCAUGAGGCCUAGUCCCAAUGUUGGACUUACCCCUACUUUGUUUCACUCCCCUCCUCACUUUAGGUGAGCUGUGGAAUCUCCCAUUUUUCACCUUCCCACACCUCAUAUCCUGGUCCCUUUCCCCUCCAAGCCUAUUCUCUUGAGAAAGAAAUCCCCAAACCCCAUGUUCAUUGAUUCUCUUUCUCCUCUUCCUCCUCAUCCAUUGUUCCACCUCAUAAUGGUCCUACUCCUUCUGCUCCUCCUGGUCCUUCUCUUGCUUCUCUUCCUUUUACUCCUAAGCUUGCUCCUCAUCUUUUUCUACCUCUUGCUCCUUCUCUUCAUCACUUUCCAAGCCCUACUCUAGUCCCUUUCAACUGCACCCCAAUAGCCUUGGACAGAACUUAACUACUGCAAGUAUCUCUCCCACCAACACAGCCAAGUCCUCUGCUUACCUGAAUCACCAUCCCACUAUGCAGUCUGAGGACCCUCCAAGGACAGCUCCUGCCCAUGCCCCUGGUCCACAACCUUAGGCAGCAUAGGCAGCCAUCAAAGGCAUCAGCCUCUACUGGUUCCUCAACACCUCUGGUCUCCCACCCCAACCCCCCAUUUGAACCAGUCCUUUGUCCCACUAACCACACCUCAGCUCUCAUCCGGGGGUCCUCCUGGUGAUCAAUGGAGAAUCUGCCUUCGCAAUGCUGCCCUGCUUAUAGCGAUCCCAGUUAUGGACCAUGUACUGGCCUUCCACCUGGCAUGCAGAGUGUCUCCACCAUCAUUGUUAAAGCCUGCAGCACCAGAGGAACCUAUGGAUACCACCACUCCUUAUUAAGCUGUCCUCUCAUAGUUCCCUCCUGCCUCUCCCUAGAUUCUUGGAACAUUUACAUGGGCUGCUUCCUGCUUCUAGGGACCUCCAUCAGAAUGGCAGCAUUGCCUCAAUUCCAGUUCCCACCACUUGGGGUACACAGCAGACACAGGGACCAAGUCUCCCAGCAGUUCUAGAUCCACCUCUCAGUCCAUAUAUAGGGGCCCUGGUAGGCAGCGACAGCAUAACAUAUUGAUUUUGGGUAACCCAUCCAGGAAGCUCAGCCCAGGGUAUGGGCUUAAACACACCAACCCAUCAACAAUGGGCUGCCUGGUCUUGUGUGUAUGAUAUCACCCCACAUCCACUUGGGCACAUCACUCAACAGGUGGCCAGACUUUCCUAUGGUGAACUGCAAGGAUUUAGAGUCUUCAGGACUCACUUGGACUUCCUCACAGGUGGGUUGCAUAUAAGAUAUCACUUCAGAAUUUGCCAGCUCUCAUCUCAAGCCUGCAGUGUUCUUAGAACCUGCACUGCUAGGAAUGGAGGGAAAGCUGGUUUUGGAAUGCCCAUUCCAGAACUUGGGUUCAAGCCUGCAGCCCAGCAUUAAACACUGUGGAUCUAAAACAUCCACUCUAGAGCACAGAGGAGAUCUUCAUGAGUGCCUGACUCUAUACCCCUAAAAAACCCACACUCUGUUUUUAUGAUAACCUCAUUGAUCUGAGCUCUGGGCAGUUUCCUGGCCUUCCACCUGACUAGGAAGUUCAUUGCUAGCUGGAGGGGCUUCCUAUUCCCUCACAUUUUUGCCUCCAUGACCUUCCUUUUACCUCCAACUUGUACAUGAAUUCUUAUAGUUUCUAGUCUCUGUUCACACAUCUUCCCUGCUCUCUGAUUAGAUGUCAAAAAAGAAGUGGCAUUUGUUCAUGGUGAUGUGUGGAGUCUGACAUUAUGAAAAUUUGGAAUAAUAACAAGUAUCUGCUGCAAGUAUCUCUCCCACCAGAAGACAGAUCCAAAGGUGCUCUCCACUGAGCUUUACAGAAGGCUUUUUACUUUUCGUUUUAAGACAGGUUCUCACUUUUGGGAUGCUGCCCUAGAACUCAACAACUUCCUGACUCAGCCCCUGAAUUGUUGGGAUUAAAG